AGCAGCCGCCGCGGUAAUACGGAGGGGGCUAGCGUUGUUCGGAAUUACUGGGCGUAAAGCGCACGUAGGCGGCUUUGUAAGUUAGAGGCGAAAGCCCGGAGCUCAACUCCGGAAUUGCCUUUAAGACUGCAGAGCUAGCAGGUGAGAGAGGUGAGUGGAAUUCCGAGUGUAGAGGUGAAAUUCGUAGAUAUUCGGAAGAACACCAGUGGCGAAGGCGGCUCACUGACUCAUACUGGACGCUGAGGUGCGAAAGCGUGGGGAGCAAACAGGAUUAGAUACCCGCGUAGUCCCUGUCUCUUAUAC
rnacentral:rRNA from 1 species